ACGCCAAUGCCUCCGGAACAAAAGGUAGCGCUAAUGCGCCGGAAAGAAAAAAAAACAACAACAACAAUAAAGAGACCAAAAUAAGGACCGCGAACGUUGGGGGGAGUCUCCAUAUUCUUCGGCAAGAAGUGACGCAGUCUCUGGAAAGGCAAAUACUUCAAAUGUUUACAUGCACCUGUUCGGAUGCUGAAUGAGAGUGCAUCGUUUAAGGGGUCUGUGUCUACAUAGGCGAAGAUCCAGAUAACCUUCUACAGGAAUAUGUGGUUCUUGCAUUUAAGGACUGAAGAUUAUUCAUCUCAUACGGCCCACUCCACUUUUUCUGGGUCACAGGUGGAAGACAGGAGCCAAUCCCAGCUGACAUUAGACUGUAGGAGGAAACUGUAGAACCUGGAGAGAACCCAUGUCCACACAGGAAAACAAGUCCACCCAGAUGGACUGGAAUUAAACUAGAGAACCGGUCAUCUUCCUUCAGUAAGGUAAGAGCACUGACCAUGUGUUCAAUGUUUUUUU